CCUACGGGCGGCAGCAGUGGGGAAUAUUGGGCAAAGGGCGCAAGCCUGACCCAGCAAUGCCGCGUGAAGGAAGCAGGCUUUCGGGUUGUAAACUUCUUUGACAGGGGAAGAGCAGAAGACGGUACCCUGAAAACAAGCCACGGCUAACUACGUGCCAGCCGCCGCGGUAAUACGUAGGUGGCCAGCGUUGUCCGGCUUUACUGGGGGUAAAGGGCGUGUAGCCGGGAAGGCAAGUCAGAUGUGAGAUCCGGAGGCGCAACCUCCGAAUUGCAUGUGAAACUGUUUUUCCCGAGUACUGGAGAGGCAGACGGAAUUCCUGGUGUAGCGGUGAAAUGCGUAGAUAUAAGGAGGAACACCAGUGGCGAAGGCGGUCUGCUGGACAGCAACUGACGGUGAGGCGCGAAAGCGUGGGGAGCAAACAGGAUUAGAUACCCUAGUAGUC
rnacentral:rRNA from 1 species